ACCUACGGGGGGCAGCAGUAGGGAAUCUUCCACAAUGGGCGAAAGCCUGAUGGAGCAGCGCCGCGUGGGUGAAGAAGGUCUUCGGAUCGUAAAACCCUGUUGUUAGAGAAGAAAGUGCGUGAGAGUAACUGUUCACGUUUCGACGAUAUCUAACCAGAAAGCCACGGCUAACUACGUGCCAGCAGCCGCGGUAAUACGUAGGUGGCAAGCGUUAUCCGGAUUUAUUGGGCGUAAAGGGAACGCAGGCGGUCUUUUAAGCCUGAUGUGAAAGCCUUCGGCUUAACCGGAGUAGUGCAUUGGAAACU
rnacentral:rRNA from 1 species